AACGCACAUUGCGCCCUUUGGUAUUCCGAAGGGCAUGCCUAUUCGAGCGUCAUUAUCAACCCUCAAGCCUGGCUUGUUAUUGGGUCUUGUAUCAAUUUUCGGAUUGAUAGGCCUGAAAGAUAAUGGCGGUGUCACUAAAUGACUCCUGGUGCAGCGAGCUUUUUAACUAGCAUACACUGGACAGUCUUUAAUGAAACCUCGCCUGAAAAUCUCCAUUUUCUUCAAGGUUGACCUCGGAUUAGGUAGGAAUACCCGCUGAACUUAA
rnacentral:misc_RNA from 1 species